rnacentral:tRNA from 1 species
AAAAAGAAGUGUAAAUAGCCCGCAGGAAAUUGGCUCCUGAAGUAAGAAUUAAUAUUUUUCUUUUU